GGUAUGCACAUACUACCAAAAAGGACUAUGUGCCUAUGGGAGCAGGUGUAGAUACGAACAUGUUAAAGCUUCUCAACAGCAUUCACCUCCAUCUUCGUCAGCUUCAGCUCAACAUCUGCACUCAGAUUCUUCUCCCACUACCUUAUCUCCUGGAAUGCUAGCAGAUGGUGUAGGACUUUCUGCUGAUUUCUCAACAGCAUUCACCUCCAUCUUCAUCAGCUCCAGCUCAAUAUCUGCACUCAGAUCCUUCUCCCACUACCUUAUCUCCUGGAAUGCUAGCAGAUGGUGCAGGACUUUCAGCUGAGUAUUUGACUUCAGGCAGACCUUCUUACCCUCCCAACCAA
rnacentral:lncRNA from 1 species